CCUACGGGAGGCAGCAGUGAGGAAUAUUGGUCAAUGGACGAGAGUCUGAACCAGCCAAGUAGCGUGAAGGAUGACUGCCCUAUGGGUUGUAAACUUCUUUUAUAUGGGAAUAAAAUGUUCCACGUGUGGGAUUUUGUAUGUACCAUAUGAAUAAGGAUCGGCUAACUCCGUGCCAGCAGCCGCGGUAAUACGGAGGAUACGAGCGUUAUCCGGAUUUAUUGGGUUUAAAGGGAGCGUAGGUGGGUUGUUAAGUCAGUUGUGAAAGUUUGCGGCUCAACCGUAAAAUUGCAGUUGAAACUGGCAGUCUUGAGUACAGUAGAGGUGUGCGGAAUUCGUGGUGUAGCGGUGAAAUGCUUAGAUAUCACGAAGAACUCCGAUUGCGAAGGCAGUUCACUGGACUGCAACUGACACUGAGGCUCGAAAGUGUGGGUAUCAAACAGGAUUAGAUACCCUUGUAGUC
rnacentral:rRNA from 1 species